CGGCUGGGGGCUUUAUUAGGGGGCACCGGGGUCUGCUUUCCGACUCCCUUCCGACUCCGCGCCUGCGCAGGAAGCGAUUUGGGGAGUGUUGUGAAUUCCGAGGGCUCCACACUUAAGAGGUUGUACACUCACCUGUCUACCUGGACUCCAAUUUCCAUAUUUCCAGCCACUUGAGGACUGAGAGGUGGAUGAUAAACCCUGUCAUAGUGGAGCAAGUUCAGGUGUUUAACCGCUGUUAUGGGGGAUCUGCCUUUUCUCCCUCUUCUUUCUUACUUCCAUAAGUAUGUAUGUGCAGAGAUUGAAAAAUAACCUUGAGAGAGUCCAUCCAUCUAACUCCAGGCUGGAGUGCAGUGGCGUGAUUUUGGCUCACUGUAUCCUUCGCCUCCCUGGCUCAAGUGAUUCUCCUGCCUCAGCCUCCCAAGUAGCUUGGAUUACAGAGGUUGUUGGCUUCCAUCAGGGGUGGUCAUUUCCAAUCAGACACCUAAGAACUCCUGCUAAUGGGCAAUGAUGGAGGCACAUUCUAGAUGGAGGCACAUUCUAGAAACGCUUGAAACUGUGUGUUGCUUUGGACAGCUGUUUCAGGAAACAUUGCAGCGUUAUAAGAGAAAUUAUAGACUAUUUGUUGAAGCUCAGCAUGUCCAUCUCCCUGCUUUGAAGAAGGCAAGCUUCAUUAAAACCAACAUCUUACUUGGCCUAAAACAUCUUUGGAGUAGGAGAUUUAUGGCCUUUCUGGGAAAGUAGUUCUAAUUUUUAUAAACCUUAGAAUUAAGAAGUUCUUUUGUAAAUACAAUUAUAAUUCUUUCUUCUCGA
rnacentral:lncRNA from 1 species